GUAACAAGGUCUCCGUAGGUGAACCUGCGGAGGGAUCAUUGAAUUAUUAAAACCACAAUGUGAACCUCAACGUUCCGUGCCUUGGCUUGCCAGUGGGGCAUUCGGCGUAAAACCCGUUUGUAUCUCACAGCUGGGUAGGCAAUGUUGCCUAUUCAGUGGCGCCUUGGCAUGACUAUACACCAGUGCUAACACUGUUAAAACCAAACUCUGAAGUUGUGAUUGCUAGUAACUGGCAAUCUUAACCAAAGACAACUCUCAACAACGGAUAUCUUGGCUCUCGCAACGAUGAAGAACGCAGCGAAAUGCGAUACGUAGUGUGAAUUGCAGAAUUCCGUGAACCAUCGAAUCUUUGAACGCAUAUUGCGCUCGAGCCUUCGGGCAAGAGCAUGUCUGCCUCAGCGUCGGUUUAAACCCUCACCCCUCCCAACUUGUUUGGGUGUGUCGGCUUCUAUAGCUGGCCACAGGGGUGGAUCUGGCUUCCCCAAUCUGCCAUUCGGUGGAUUGGGUUGGCUGAAGUGCAGAGGCUUAAGCAAGGACCCGAUAUGGGCUUCAACUGGAUAGGUAGCACCGGCUUCUGCCGACUACACGAAGUUGUUGCUUGUGGAUCUUGCUAGGGGCCAAGCAGGAACAUGCCUAUGGUAUGUCUAAACUUUCGACCUGAGCUCAGGCAAGGCUACCCGCUGAACUUAA
rnacentral:misc_RNA from 1 species